GCCCUCUGCAGGAAGUGAAGCUGAAUUUCACAAAUCUUCCCUUUCUGACGUCUCCCGAAUUUCUAGGAAUGCCCCUUCCCUGUUACUAUAUUUGGAGGUAGCUUCUAGGAAAAAAAUAAUUUUCAGACGAUCUUGGACUCACCACACCUACUAUACAAGGACUCACUUCACCUAAGAUUCUCUGACAAGGACCCUAAAGGAGUUUAGAAGCCAAAUGACUGGGAUCAUCAACUCCAGUGACAGAGCGGCAUGUCUUUGUAACAGUGUUGCAGAAAUGAGCAUGGAGAGGGAAUGGGAAAGGGGAGAGAGGUGUCUUUGUGGCAACAAUGAGUGAAUCUUCUCUAGUUAUCUCCUGGUUGCUGGGUUUUUUCCUCUGCACUUUCUUUUGCAGUUGAAAGGAAGAUGAUCGUUUUAAAAUUAUUAAUCCUCCUUUUUUUCUUCUUCUUUUCACCCUCCCUGCCACCCCCCUUGAUGUGGCCUCUUGUUUAGCUUGUGGCGUGACCAUGAUGAAGAAAUUUUUCUGGGAGCCUGGCAGUGUGAUCUUUUUAUGUAAUGAGUCAGGAUUUUGCCAAGGGAAGGAGCAGGGUUUGAGGAUUGAGUGUGUCUCCUUUCAAGAAGAAAACUGACAGGCGAGAUGCACCUUUUCCCCAGGAUCCUUUUUCCCUCUCCCCGCCUCACAGGAAUGACAAGUGAUUAUGAACAAACAGGAAAACGAAGGUGAAGAUGACUGAGUUAGCUGCAGAAGCCAAUAUAUUAAGAUUCUCAUGUUGACCUGGCUGGCAUCGUCAAUUUAAUUUUUUUUUUUUAAAUUUCAUUUAACUGUUUUACUUAAAAACAAUUUUAACAAAAACAAACUUGAUUUUAAAAAACUUGAAUGUUUAACUAAAUUCAAAAUUCAUAUGCUUGUUUUGUUAAAAUAUUAUAUGUUUGUUGUUGAAGAAAAAAAUGCAGAAUACAUAAUGUUGUUGUUUUAGUUAAAUAAAACAAUUUAAAUGUC